rnacentral:rRNA from 1 species
ACAGAGGUGGCAAGCGUUGUUCGGAAUUACUGGGCGUAAAGGGCGCGUAGGCGGCCAUCUAAGUCAGACGUGAAAUCCCCCGGCUUAACCUGGGAACUGCGUCUGAUACUGGACGGCUUGAGUAUGGGAGAGGGACGCGGAAUUCCAGGUGUAGCGGUGAAAUGCGUAGAUAUCUGGAGGAACACCGGUGGCGAAGGCGGCGUCCUGGACCAACACUGACACUGAUGAGCGAAAGCCAGGGGAGCAAACGGGA